rnacentral:rRNA from 1 species
GGUUGAUCCUGCCAGUUGUCAUAUGCUUGUCUCAAAAAUUAAGCCAUGCAAGUCUAAGUAUAAGCGUUUAUACAGCGAGACUGCGGAUGGCUCAUUAUAUCAGUUAUCGUCUAAAGGAUGGGUCAAUUACUACAUGGAUAACUGUAGUAAUUCUAGAGCUAAUACAUGCCAAAAAGCUCUGUCCUUCUUGGGCAGGGUGGUCUUAUUAGCUGAAAAGCCGACCUGACUCUGUCAGCUCUAGGUGAUUCAUAAUAAUGUACCCAAUCGCACGACUCGUUCGGCGAUGCAUCCUU